rnacentral:rRNA from 1 species
UACGUAGGGACCAAGCGUUGUUCGGAUUUACUGGGCGUAAAGGGCGCGUAGGCGGCGUGGUAAGUCACUUGUGAAAUCUCUGAGCUUAACUCAGAACGGCCAAGUGAUACUGCUGUGCUAGAGUGCAGAAGGGGCAAUCGGAAUUCCUGGUGUAGCGGUGAAAUGCGCAGAUAUCAGGAGGAACACCCGUGGCGAAAGCGGCUCUCUGGGACGGUACUGACGCUGAGACGCGAAAGCGUGGGGAGCAAACAGG